GUCUGACAGCUUCAAUAGAUCCCUAGUUAUAAUCAGGAAAUUUUAGUUUCUUUGCAGAUAGUAUACCUUGCUUAUGAUCUGAUUUAAUAUAUUUUGCUAAUAACUCAGUGCAACAAAACAUAAGUUCACAGGCAUUAGCAUGCAUAUGUGUGCAAAUGUAGUUAUCAUCACUGUGAAGCAACAAAGGUCUCAACUAGUUUGGGAUUCAGGCUUAGUUGGUGUUAUUGUGAAGCAACAAAUGCAGUGCUGAAAAUUUCAUUCCCCUUCAAAAGAUUUUGGAUCAAAUUUGCUGAAAUUUAAUCCAAAAUCCAAAGAUCAAUAUAUGUUUGUUAUAGACAAUUCAAAACUCCGCUAAGUGAAGUAGUUUACAUAAAUUUAUAAAACUUAAUUCGUUAACUAUAUUUAAAGAAUUUUGUCUUAUUAGUUGUUUUGUGAAUGUAUUAUGAAUGCAAAUGUUUAAUUUUGCAUGCAUUCAUAUUUGGUGAAUCUCCAAACUUGUCAGUUAAAAGAUAAUUUUAAAUUUCACCUGAGUGGAGCGGCAUUUGUAUAGAUCUGUCCAAAAAUCUUUUCAUCAUAUGAACAUAAGAUUCUACAAUCAGGAUUUGAUAACGAUCCCAUGCAGAGACAAACUAAAAGCUAGCAUAUUGCAUAAAAGCCAAGCCAUGUUUAGCUGAACAAGAAAAUGCCACAAGGACUCCUUUUUUCAGUGUUAUAACCUGUAACAAAUAUACAUACCUG
rnacentral:misc_RNA from 1 species